rnacentral:rRNA from 1 species
GAUCCUGGCUCAGGACGAACGCUGGCGGCGUGCCUAACACAUGCAAGUCGAGCGGAGACAGUGAGUAGCUUGCUAUGAGCUGUUUUAGCGGCGGACGGGUGAGUAGCGCGUGAGCAACCUUUCCCAGACAGGGGAAUAACACACCGAAAGGUGUACUAAUACCGCAUAAGACCACGGUUUCACAUGGAACUAAGGUAAAAGAUUUAUCGGUUUGGGGUGGGCUCGCGUCCGAUUAGGUAGUUGGUGAGGUAACCGG